CACCCGCUGCCUGCUCUGGAGGGGGUUUGUCACCCAAGGGUUCAUGAGUCGGAAGCUUCGUCUCCAGCGUCUCCAGCGUCUCCAGCAUGGCGUCAGACGCGGACUUUUUGAUUCCCCGUGAGCUUGGGACAUCUCUGCUGCGUGACGUGGAGCUGCAGCAUCGCUGGAAGGGUGGACUGCCUGGUGCUCUCUGCCCUGGGAAAUAUCCUGAAGGAGGCACCCAAAGAGAUCCGCAGGAAAUGGCUGAAAACUGGAGAGAGAAGAAAUGGUGAAUCUAGGUCGGCCGCAGCGUGGAUGAUUUACAGAGUUAAUAAUAACUCCACAAGUGUGUGCACAGAGCUGCAAGUCCUCGUGGAUGUGCGCUUUCUGCCAGGUUUCCAGUACCCAAGUUAUGCUGGUUUCAUAAAAGGAAUUUGGAAGCCUUCCUCCUUUCUCUAUGCCCAGAAAUGCUUUAAAUAGCACUGGAGUUAUCAUUUCUCUAAAGCCUUGGUUGGCUACAUUUGUGGGCCUGGUGAUUUUCCCCUACUAUUUUUAGGGGGUGGGGAACACUAGGGAUUGAAUCCAAGAUGCUUCACCACCGAGCCACACCCCCACAUCCUCAGAUUUUUUUUCCUCAGACAGCGUCUUGCUAAGUUGCCCAGACUGGCUGCAAACUUGUGAUCCUCCUGCCUCAGCCUCCUGAGUAGAGGAGAUGACAGGCGUGUGCCAAACCCAGGCUGCCGUGUGUACUACGGUUCUCCGAGGAGGGAUGACAAGCAUGUCCCUCAUCCUCAGAAGUGUCCUCGUGUCCUUUGCAGCCCAUCUCCCCCCCACUUCUAUUUGCAGACACCCCCUUUUUAUUUUAGAUUUAGAUUUAAAUUUUUAUUACCCAUCGGCUUGCAUCAUUUGUCAUUUUAGAAAAAUGGAAUCAAACAGCAGCACGCCCUUUCUUUGCUGGACUUUGCCUGCAGCUUACCUAUUUUAAGGAACCACAGUUGUACAUGGGGUCAUCACGCAGCCUGCGUCUGGAUUUUGAGAAUCACUCGUUAAUAGUUCAUUCACUUUACUGCCGAGUAAAAUUCCACUGUAGGAAUACGCCACCAUUUGUCUAUAUAUUCACUAGCUAAGACCGCUGAGUUGUUUUCAGUUUGGGGCCAGCAUAAA